UUCGCAGUUCGCACGACGCACGUUGUUGUUUGUUCCUUUGCAAAGUAUAAAUCGAGAAGUAUUUUGAAUGUAUAUUAAAUUUUACUGGACAUUAUGAUACAAGAUUGCCUGGAGAAGAUCGAGGAUAUUGUUUUAAAAGUGACUGGGAAUCUCAGUCAUCUCAGAGGUAAGGUUUUAAAAUUAUACGCGCAAACAGACGAAAGCUAUAUAUUUUGAAUUUCGAAUUUGCCGCGUAAACAGUGUACGUAUUUAACAGAAAUAUUCACAGUUUUGCUACUCAUUCCCACCAAAAAAAAUGAAUGAUUUAUAGAAAUAUGUUAUGCCGUGGUUAUACUAUAGGUACUAUGCCAUAUUAAGUGUGAUAUUGAUGUAAUGAUGUUGGCUAAACCAUGGUCAAAUACAUGAAUUUAUGUUAUAUAUUAAAAUAUGAACAUGAAACUGAUUGAAACAUCUGCCAUAACAGACUUACUCAAUCUUAGGAUUAUGAUGUACGGAAUCUUAGGAUCUACAUUAAUUUUGAUUAAGAAUUUGAAUGACAUAGCUGUUAUAUUGCCUUUUAAAUAAUUUUUAUAUGCAUCCUUUAUUAGAUGGUGGAUUAACAAGUGCCAAGUGGUGAUGUUUAUAAGUCUAAGUCAUCUAAGUCUGUAAUGAACGAGCAGGAAAGUAUGGUGCCAAGGUCUUUCAUUUGAUGAAAAAUAUCAACUUGAUAUUAGUUCAGUGAAACAAGAAAAGAAGCCAUUUGACUUGGUUUAAGGAAAUAAGGAACAUGGAUUAAUUGAGGUAGUACUAGUGUGCGAGAAACUCAGUGGAUGAGUGGAAAGUCUCCUCU